UAGUUCUUGCACCAUUGCUUAACCAUGCUUGCUGCUUAUAUGUAUACUACCAUACAGUUUAGUUUAUAAAGUCUGCCAAAAUUGUGGUCUGCGUUGAUACGCACU